AGAGUUUGAUCCUGGCUCAGAACGAACGCUGGCGGCAUGCCUAACACAUGCAAGUCGAACGAGGGCUUCGGCCCUAGUGGCGCACGGGUGAGUAACGCGUGGGAACCUGCCCUGUGGUACGGAAUAACUCCGGGAAACUGGAGCUAAUACCGUAUGUGUCCUGCGGGACAAAGAUUUAUCGCCAUGGGAUGGGCCCGCGUAGGAUUAGCUUGUUGGUGGGGUAACGGCCUACCAAGGCAACGAUCCUUAGCUGGUCUGAGAGGAUGAUCAGCCACACUGGGACUGAGACACGGCCCAGACUCCUACGGGAGGCAGCAGUGGGGAAUAUUGGACAAUGGGCGCAAGCCUGAUCCAGCAAUGCCGCGUGAGUGAUGAAGGCCUUCGGGUUGUAAAGCUCUUUCGCACGCGACGAUGAUGACGGUAGCGUGAGAAGAAGCCCCGGCUAACUUCGUGCCAGCAGCCGCGGUAAUACGAAGGGGGCUAGCGUUGUUCGGAAUUACUGGGCGUAAAGGGCGCGUAGGCGGUGCUUCAAGUCAGGCGUGAAAGCCCCGGGCUCAACCUGGGAACCGCGCUUGAGACUGGAGGACUAGAGUUCGGGAGAGGAUGGUGGAAUUCCCAGUGUAGAGGUGAAAUUCGUAGAUAUUGGGAAGAACACCGAUGGCGAAGGCAGCCAUCUGGACCGACACUGACGCUGAGGCGCGAAAGCGUGGGGAGCAAACAGGAUUAGAUACCCCGGUAGUCC
rnacentral:rRNA from 1 species